rnacentral:rRNA from 1 species
UACGUAGGGGGCUAGCGUUGUCCGGAUUUAUUGGGCGUAAAGAGCGUGUAGGCGGCCAGGUAGGUCUGGUGUGAAAACUCGAGGCUUAACCUCGAGAUGUCAUCGGAAACCAUCUGGCUAGAGUCCGGAAGAGGAGAGUGGAAUUCCUGGUGUAGCGGUGAAAUGCGUAGAUAUCGGGAGGAACACCAGUGGCGAAGGCGGCUUUCUGGCCUGUUCUUGACGCUGAGGCGCGAAAGCUAGGGGAGCAAACGGG